rnacentral:rRNA from 1 species
UACGGGGGGAGCAAGCGUUGUUCGGAUUUACUGGGCGUAAAGGGCGCGUAGGCGGCCACCGCAAGUCGGUUGUGAAAUCUCUGGGCUUAACCCAGAAAGGUCAACCGAUACUGCGGGGCUAGAGUGCAGAAGGGGCAACUGGAAUUCUCGGUGUAGCGGUGAAAUGUGUAGAGAUCGGGAGGAACACCGGUGGCGAAGGCGGGUCUCUGGGCAUCUCCUGACGCUGAGGCGCGAAAGCGUGGGGAGCAAACGGG